rnacentral:rRNA from 1 species
GAGCCCUAAACGUUGUAAAGUACUAAGCUCGGGGAUAAUAAUGACGGUACCCGAGUAAAAAGCCCUGACUAACUUCGUGCCAGCAGUCGCGGUAAAACGGAGAGGGCAAGUGUUAUUCGUAUUGACUGGGUGUAAAGGGUACGUAGGCGGUUAUUUAAGUUAUAAAAAAAAGCUAUAUCUUUUUAUAAUACUAUAUGACUAGAGUUAAAAAGGGGAUGGCGGUACCUCCAGUUUAGAAGUGACAUUCGUUUGAGAUUGGGGGGACCAACAAUAGGCGACGGCUGCUUUCCAUUUUUAUACUGACGCUGAGGUACGAAAGCAUGGGGAGCGAACAGGAUUAGAGACCCUGGUAGUCCAUGCCCUGACCUAUGAAUAUUAAUCGUCCAUUUAGAUAGUGGAUGACUAAGCUAACGCGAAAAUAUUCCACCUGAGGACUACGGCCGCAAGGUUAAAACUCAAAGAAAUUGGCGGAAGAUCGUUUAAGCGGUGGAGUAUGUGGUUUAAUUCGAUAAUACGCGAAAAACCUUACCAAUCUUUGUGCACAUUUUCGGUUAUACAAAACUCGUAGUCUGGAUUGAGGUGGUCAAUUUGGACUAAUUAUGUGCCAGGCGUUGCAUGGCUGUCGUAAGCUCGUGUCUUAGGAUGUGUGGUUAACUCCAUGAACGGGCGCAACCCUUGUUCCUAAUUAGAUUAGGAAUGAAAACAGUGAAAACUGCUUUUGAGGAUGAGGAGUAUGUCAAGUCAAUAUGACCUUUAUAGAUUGGGCUACACACGUACUACAACGGUAGUUACAAUGAGAAACAAUGCCGUGAGGCGGAGUAAAUCUCUAAAAUCUACCCUAGUUCGGAUUAUUUUUUGAAAUAAAAAUAUGAAGCCGGAAUCGCUAGUAAUCGCAAAAAAGAAUGUUGCGGUGAAUAUUAAGACCGAUCUUAGUACACACCGCCCGUCACGCCAUGGAAGCUUGUUUGGUUUGAAGAUAUUAAGUCACAUGUUUCGAAGUGAUUAUCACUUAAUAAGU